GUUUCUGAGAAAAGAGCCAGAAAUCGAACCUGGAACCUGUUGCUGCUAAUCAAAUCAUGACAGAAAGCAAGUUUUUGUAGUUCCUCUCUGAGCUGGCCAUCGUGCAAAGUAUGACACUAAAGGAAAGCUUGUAGAGAACAGUGUGAUGGAGGAAAUAAUGACUUGUGAGUCUAGAAACCUACCACAGGAGCUAGAGCUUCAUGAUUUCUAUCAAAAGGUGGGCACCCACAGCUUGUCAUGGAUAGACCGGCAGAGCUGUCACCCAUCCUUGGCACAGCCUCCUCUGGGGACUGACUGUGUGAAUGGUUUGAACCCAGCCCAUGAACAGCCACUGGAAAUUGCGGCUGCGCUACCGUGCAUGAGCACAGUGCUGGGACGAGUCUAUUUGUCAGUGGGUGAGCACCCCAGGCCGGCUGGCGGCCGUGCCCGGGCUGAGCCGGGCGGGGGCUCGGUGCGGGCGGUGCCCGCGGGCGGGAGCGCUCGGCGCUCGGCGCAGCGGACAGUGCCAUCUGCUGCUCCGCGCCUGGAAAGCAAACCUGCUCCGGGCUGGCCCUCCACCGCUCCUGCCACCGUGUGCUCCCCAGCCCUGCCUCUGCCCCCGCCCGUUCCCCGGCCCUGCCUGUGCCACCGUGUGCUCCCCAGCCCUGCCUCUGCCACCGUGUGCUCCCCAGCCCUGCCUCUGCCACCGUGUGCUCCCCAGCCCUGCCUCUGCCCCCGCCCGUUCCCCGGCCCUGCCUGUGCCACCGUGUGCUCCCCAGCCCUGCCUCUGCCACCGUGUGCUCCCCAGCCCUGCCUCUGCCACCGUGUGCUCCCCAGCCCUGCCUCUGCCCCCGCCCGUUCCCCGGCCCUGCCUGUGCCACCGUGUGCUCCCCAGCCCUGCCUCUGCCACCGUGUGCUCCCCAGCCCUGCCUCUGCCACCGUGUGCUCCCCAGCCCUGCCUCUGCCCCCGCCCGUUCCCCGGCCCUGCCUGUGCCACCGUGUGCUCCCCAGCCCUGCCUCUGCCACCGUGUGCUCCCCAGCCCUGCCUCUGCCACCGUGUGCUCCCCAGCCCUGCCUCUGCCCCCGCCCGUUCCCCGGCCCUGCCUCUGGCCCCGUGUGCUCCCCGGCCCUGCCUCUCUGCGCUGCCUGCCAAGGUUUUCCAUCACUGCUGAGGUGA
rnacentral:lncRNA from 1 species